AGUGAACGCUGGCGGUAGGCCUAACACAUGCAAGUCGAACGGCAGCACAGUAAGAGCUUGCUCUUACGGGUGGCGAGUGGCGGACGGGUGACGAAUACAUCGUAAUCUACUUUUUCGUGGGGGAUAACGUAGGUAAACUUACUCUAAUACCGCAUACGACCUACGGGUGAAAGCAGUGGAUCUUCUGGCCUUGCGCGAUUGAAUGAGCCGAUGUGGGAUUAGCUGGUUGGCUGGGUAAAGGCCCACCAAGUCGACGAUCCGUAGCUGGUCUGAGUGAAUGGUAGGCCACCCUGGAACGGGAACACGGACAAGACGCCUGAGGGAGGCAGCAGUGGGGAAUAUGGGACAAUGGGCGGAAGCAUGAUCCAGCCAGACCGCGUGUGUGAAGAAGGCCUUCGGGUUGUAAAGCCGGUUUGUUGGGAAAGAAAAGCAGCAGGUUAAUACCAAGCUGUUGUGACGGUACCCAAAGAAGAAGCACCGGCUAACUUCGUG
rnacentral:rRNA from 1 species